GGUCUUCGAUGUGUUCGUGACGGUGCCGUUGCCGGUUGUGGAGACGAUUCAGAUCUAUUGGGGAAGCGCGCCUUUUGCGACUCACUCGUUUUCUCAGGGUCAACGGCUCGUGAUGUUGACCGUUGGGCCAUCAAUACCUGACGGAGAAGGACGUUAUAGGAUUCAGUGCACGGCUCCACUCAACGGCGCCGUCUCUCCGCCAGGUUAUUACAUGGCCUUCGCCGUUAACCAAGGCGUUCCUAGCGUCGCUCGGUGGAUGCGUAUAGUUCUUUGAUUAAAAACGAGGAAAUAUUUCGAUUUUUAAUCAUGAAUAAUUUGUUAAAUAUGUUAAUAAAAAAACACAUGGCUUAAUAUGAAUAUUUUUAAUGAAACCCUUACUUGGCCAAUUCUAACCAUACAAUGUUUAUUUGGUCUGGUGAUUUAGAUGUUUUGGUUUUAUAAAUUUACUAGUUGUAUCCCGGUACACGCCGGGUUUAUAUGUUUUGUUUUCUGAUGACUUAAUAAUUGAUUUUUUGAUCCAUUUGAUAGUGGUGGAUGAUAUUAGUGUAUUACUUUUUUUGUAGUUGGUUAGGUCAAAGAAAAAUAGCAUAAGUGAGUUUUAUAGAUUAAUGAAACAACAACCAUAAAUAGCUGAUAGUUUCACCAAAUUAAAUAUAAAUUAACUAAAAACAUAAAAUAAAAUUGAUGUUCCAAAAUAAAGCACCUAAAUGCAUGUGUUUGUUUGUGAUCAUCCUCUUACAGCACCAAAUUAGGGGUUCCACUAUGGAUGUAUAUAUUCGUUAAAUACUUUGUCCCGGACUCUAUUUUGAAUCCAUUAAGUGAAUUUUUAAUCAUGGUCCAUCAUUGCUAAGAUCUAAAUUGAUAACUUAUCCAGAUAUUCUUUUCCUUUUUGAAAUAAAGAAUAAAGAUGUUAGCAAAGCAACUCGUGUAUUUGUGGUAGGUGAUCUACAUUCUUCUUCGCGAAGAAGUUGGUGAAGCUGCGUGAGAAAAACUUCACAAUUAAAUACACGAUUAGGUGCGAUAAAUCCUUGCAUAACAAAAGGCAUGUGGAUGUUUUAAUUAAUAAUAAUUUACAUUUAUAAUAUAAUGUACAAAAUGAUGAAUAUUACUUACUUUCUACAAAUUGUUUUCAAAUUCAACUCAGCAGUACAAAAAUUAUGAUAUUUAUUUGACAUAUUUUACUCAGAGUGUUUUCUUACUGAAUGUUAUUAUUGAUAGUGCUAAAUCUUUAUUAAUAUGGCUUAAGAAACUUUCCAAUGAAACCUUUUUAUAUAUGAGAGAUUACUUCAUAUUAAUGUUUUUUUUUACAUUUAUGAUUUAGAACUUUCAUUGUUUUAAGAUAUUUUUUAUUAGUUAAACUUUCUCUUUUAAGAGAAUUUACUUUUUAUUCUAAAAACUCUCUUUUUGAAAAAUAUAGAGAAAACUAAAUAAAUGAGACCCUUUUAUAUGUUUUUAACACCUUUUAACAAUUUUGAACUCAUUUAUGAUAUUUAUUUGACAUAUUUUAUUGAGAGUGUUUUCUUACUGAAUGUUAUUAUUGGUAGUGCUAAAUCUUUAUUAAUAUGGCUUAAGAAACUUUCCAAUGAAACCUUUUUAUAUAUGAGAGAUUAUUUCAUAUUAAUGUUUUUUUUUACAUUUAUGAUUUAGAACUUUCAUUGUUUUAAGAUAUUUUUAUUAGUUAAACUUUCUCUUUUAAGAGAAUUUACUUUUUAUUCUAAAAACUCUCUUUUUGAAAAAUACAGAGAAAACUAAAUAAAUGAGACCCUUUUAUAUGUUUUUAACACCUUUUAACAAUUUUGAACUCAUUUAUGAUAUUUAUUUGACAUAUUUUAUUGAGAGUGUUUUCUUACUGAAUGUUAUUAUUGGUAGUGCUAAAUCUUUAUUAAUAUGGCUUACUCAAAUCAAAACCUUAUGCUACUCACUGAAAAUAGGACAAGGAGUUUGGUCGUUUCUCAGGACAGAGAUCCAGUGUUUGAUCAAAGGAUGAGGUGGCACGAACACCUGAAAUUAAAAAGAAAAAAAAAACAAAACUAAGAAUCAAUUCACUAUUGAUUAGUUCCGAUCUCAAAAUUUACCAGCAUCCUAUUGCUUCCGUUAAUGGAGCCUUCGGACGCCGCCAUUUUAGCUCUAACCGGAAUAUUCCGCCGUGAAAGAGAAGCACCCAAAGUCUGUAUGUAUGAAGAAUUCGAGAUGAGGAUCCAACUCGAGGAGGGAGUGAGGUUAUAUUAAAUAGUGGUGGGUUACCUGACCGAGGAAGGGGGAGGAAUUAAAGGAGAGGAGAGAGGAAGGGGUAGGGGUAGGGUUUACGCGGCCGCAUUGAUCUUGUCGGGGACCUAAACGCAGCGUUUCCGAGUAACAUCGGAAAGCGUUACUAAUUGAGUACGCCAUUUCCCGACGAUAUCCGAACUCUGGUCUAACUGAGAACGACGAUCCAGCGAUUCAAAUACAUAAUAAACCGGCCCUCACUAAACUGUACCGGAUUAUUUUGGGGACUUCAACUUACGAUUGGGCUACAUUUUUCGUUUUUUGGACAAUCCCAUUGGGCUUUGUUUAUUACACGCUUUAUACUAUGCGGAGGAUAUGGGACUAUGGAGCGGAGCUUAAGCAAGUGCUCAAUAUAUCAGCUUACUGUAAAAAAAAAAAAAAGACUACUACCAAAGAUUUAUCUGUUUCUUCUUCUCCAAAUCCUACAAAGCAGCUUACAUUAAAGCAUUUACGACUCUAUUAGUCUUACUGGGUAUCAUGGAUAAUAGCCUCAACAUACAACUGUAUUGAUAGAGAAAGAGAUUAACAAUCGCUGGUUUAGCACAUUUUGAUAUAUUUUAAGAGGAAAAACAAUUUAGAAAUGGGUGAUACUUUUUGAAACCACUAGCUGCAGACAGCACAACCCAAAAGCUUAUCAACUUAACGAAUUAAUUAAUUAGUUUAUAAACUAAUCAUGUAUAAGAAGUAUCAUUUCUAAUUCUUGCCCAUGUCCAAGAAGCAUCAAGAUGACGAAAGAUAGGAUCAUAUGAUCAUUAGAAAGGACAAGCAUGGAGAAAAAGAUGAGAAAAAGAGCACGUUAACCAAUAGGACUAAAUCAUUUUAUGAAGUGGCUGUGAAUUGGUAUUGGCUUGUAAAGGACAACGUCAUAAGUUAUACAAAUUAUAAAUUUCUACCAAAAAAAUGUUGAUAAUUUAUCUACCAAAAAGGUAGAAAAUAGAAUAUUUAGUUGAUUGUUUUUUUAAUCAUGAUGAUGCCUUUUGAGCAGUAAAGGAGAAGCUUGCUAGUUAAUCACUUGAUAUGUACGUUUACUAUAUUACAAAUUGUAAUCAUACACUCGUUUGAUCCUAUUUGAAAUGUUAUUUCGAUCGUCCAAAAAACUAAAAAACGUUAGUUUAUAUUGAUUAAUUGCUAUAUAAACUUGGUUUUUGAAGUUAAUCAAUUGUAUUCUACUAUUCUGAACGUAAAACGAAUUUCAACGAUAUAAACUUUAGGGAAAAAAAAAACAAGAUUCUAUUAUCUUUAGCUAUAUAGAAUGUGUCAAUGCCCCCACACAGUUUUUAGUUAUCGGAUCGUAGAAUCAUAAAUCAUCACUCAAUAUCAACGGCUGUGAUCAAUUACAACGUACAGCUUUUCCCCACUCAAUCUUCUUUAAGACAUGUCAGUGAAGCAAAACACUUCCAAGCUUAGCCGACAAAAAUGGCAGAACUAGUUCGUUAUUACACUCCAGGGAUCGUAGUUAUACUUAUUCUAUCAGUUCUUCUCUUCUCGAUCACACGUGCUGAUUUACCAGGCACGUGGGAGCUCAUCGUACAAGACGCCGGUAUAGCCUCUAUGCACACGGCGGUUACCCGGUUCAACACGGUGGUUCUUCUCGAUCGGACAAAUAUUGGUCCAUCCAAAAAAGCUCUUGGUCGGCACCGGUGCCGGAAAGACCCAAACGACGUCGUUCUGAAACGUGAUUGCUACGCUCAUUCGGUUCUAUUUGACCUUGGUACAAACCAGAUCCGACCACUGAUGAUCCAAACCGACACGUGGUGCUCUUCGGGUCAGUUUUUAUCUGACGGUUCUUUGCUUCAAACGGGUGGGGAUAGAGACGGGUUUAAAAAGAUCAGGAGAUUCGAACCGUGUGACCCAAACGAGACCUGCGAUUGGGUGGAGCUCCAAGACACCGAGUUAACAACCGGACGCUGGUACGCUAGUGACCAGAUAUUACCGGAUGGUUCGGUUAUCAUCGUCGGUGGGAGAGGAACCAAUACGGUUGAGUAUUACCCUCCUCGCGAGAACGGCGCCGUUCCGUUUCAGUUUCUUGCUGACGUGGAGGAUAAACAGAUGGAUAAUCUCUACCCUUACGUUCAUCUCCUCCCCGACGACGGCGGAAACCUCUUCAUCUUCGCCAACAGCCGCGCCGUCAAAUACGAUCACCGCCUAAACACCGUGGUGAAAGAGUAUCCGCCUCUAGACGGCGGCCCGAGGAAUUAUCCGUCGGGUGGAUCAUCAGCGAUGCUAGCGAUCCAAGGAGAUUUCGCCACGGCGGAGAUCCUAAUAUGCGGCGGAGCUCAAUCCGGCGCUUUCACAGCGCGUGCCGUUGACGCACCGGCGCACGGAACCUGCGGUCGAAUCGUCGCUACCGCGCCGGAUCCGGCUUGGGUGACGGAGGAGAUGCCGUUCGGGAGGAUCAUGGGAGAUAUGGUGAAUCUUCCGACGGGAGAGAUUCUGAUCAUAAACGGAGCUCAAGCCGGAAGCCAAGGAUUCGAAAUGGGAUCGGAUCCGUGUCUUUACCCGCUUCUAUACCGACCCGAUCAACCAAUCGGUUUACGAUUCAUGACAUUGAAUCCAGGAACCGUACCGAGAAUGUACCAUUCGACGGCGAAUCUGUUACCGGACGGUCGAAUCCUCCUCGCCGGAAGUAACCCUCACUACUUUUACAAAUUUAACGCCGAGUUUCCCACCGAGUUACGUAUCGAAGCGUUUUCUCCGGAGUAUCUUUCACCGGAUCGAGCCAAUCUCCGACCCGAGAUCCGAGAAAUUCCGCAGAUCGUGCGAUACGGUGAGGUCUUCGAUGUGUUCGUGACGGUGCCGUUGCCGGUUGUGGAGACGAUUCAGAUCAAUUGGGGAAGCGCGCCUUUCGCGACUCACUCGUUUUCUCAGGGUCAACGGCUCGUGAAGUUGACCGUUGGGCCAUCAAUACCUGACGGAGAAGGACGUUACAGGAUUCAGUGCACGGCUCCACUUAACGGCGCCGUCUCUCCGCCAGGUUAUUACAUGGCCUUCGCCGUUAACCAAGGCGUUCCUAGCGUCGCUCGGUGGAUACGUAUAGUUCUUUGAUUAAAAACG
rnacentral:lncRNA from 1 species